CAGUCGCCACGGUAAUACGAAGGGGGCUAGCGUUGUUCGGAUUUACUGGGCGUAAAGCGCACGUAGGCGGACUUUUAAGUCAGGGGUGAAAUCCCGGGGCUCAACCCCGGAACUGCCUUUGAUACUGGAAGUCUUGAGUAUGGUAGAGGUGAGUGGAAUUCCGAGUGUAGAGGUGAAAUUCGUAGAUAUUCGGAGGAACACCAGUGGCGAAGGCGGCUCACUGGACCAUUACUGACGCUGAGGUGCGAAAGCGUGGGGAGCAAACAGGAUUAGAUACCCCAGUAGUCCCUGUCUCUUAUAC
rnacentral:rRNA from 1 species